CCUUCCCAGGCGUCCAGGGAAGCUGCGAGAACCGCCACUCACGUGCCACGGGACCCGCGCACAGCGCGGGGAUGGCCCGCCGAGGUCGCCAGAGAAUCUCGGGGUCGUCGGCCUCCUUCCCGCAGCGCCUACCUGGUGGGAACUGUUGUCCUCCUUUGCCCCCAGGUCGUGUCAUUUGGCCGCGGGGUUCCGAGCCGCCAGGGCGCCAGCGCUGGGCAGCACGGAGCCGCUUCUGAACGGAGACUUGAAGGCUGCCAGACAGUGGGCGGCUGGGCAGGGGCGGUGAGCGUUCAGGGCCGGCCAGAGAAAGUUGGAAGUCUCUCCCUAACCUGUUCCUUGCGACGGGCAAACAUGAAGUCCAGUGCUGCCAUCCAGGCUGCCAUUGACCUCACGGCGGGGGCUGCAGGUACAGUCAUGCGCUACCUCACCAUGUUUCUGUCGGUGAUGGACGAUGUAUGUGGUCAUGGUCCCAUGAGAUUAUACUGCCGUAUUUUUACUACACCUUUUCUGUGUUUAGAUAUGUUUAGAUACAUAAAUACUUACCACUGUGUUACAGUUGCCUCCAGUAUUCAGCACAGUACCAUGCUGCACAGGAGUGUGGCCUCGGAGCAAUGGGCCAUACCGUGCAGCCCAGGUGGGGAGUAGGCUGUGCCAUCUAGGGUCGUGUGUGUAUGCUCUGUGAUAUCACAAUGGCAAAAUUGUGUAAUGACGCAUUUUUCAGAACACGUCCCGGUCACUAAGUGAUGCCUAACAAUAAUCCCAGAGAAAACCCAGUCCUCUCUAUUCCUCAAGCACCUUCUAAAUGAGAUCAAAUGAAAGGAGCAUGAAAAUACUACCUUUCAUCCGGGCGCGGUGGCUCACGCCUGUAAUCCCAGCACUUUGGGAGGCCGAGGCAGGUGGAUCACUUGCAGUCAGGAGUUCAAAACCAGUCUGGCCAACAUGGUGAAACCCCGUUUCUACUGAAAAAUACUAAAAGUUAGCCGGGCAUGGUGGCGGGCACCUGUAAUCCCAGCUACUUGGGAGGCUGAGGCAGGAGAAUCGCUUGAACUCGGGAGACAGAGGUUGCAGUGAACUGAGAUUGGG
rnacentral:lncRNA from 1 species